rnacentral:SRP_RNA from 1 species
GCCGGGUGUGGUGGCUCACGCCUGUAAUCCCAGCACUUUGGGAGGCUGAGGCAGGCGGAUCACCUGAGGUCAGGAGUUUGAGACCAGCCUGGCCAACAGGGUGAAACCCCGUCUCUA